rnacentral:rRNA from 1 species
UGCCAGCCGCCGCGGUAAUACGGAGGGUGCAAGCGUUAAUCGGAAUUACUAGGCGUAAAGCGCGCGUAGGCGGUUUGUUAAGUCGGAUGUGAAAUCCCAGGGCUCAACCCUGGAACUGCCUCUAAAACUCCCAGUCUUGAGUUCGAGAGAGGUGAGUGGAAUUCCGAGUGUAGAGGUGAAAUUCGUAGAUAUUCGGAGGAACACCAGUGGCGAAGGCGGCUCACUGGCUCGAUACUGACGCUGAGGUGCGAAAGCGUGGGGAGCAAACAGGAUUAGAUA